GAUGAACGCUGGCGGCGUGCUUAACACAUGCAAGUCGAACGAUGAAGCCCAGCUUGCUGGGUGGAUUAGUGGCGAACGGGUGAGUAACACGUGAGUAACCUGCCCUUAACUCUGGGAUAAGCCUGGGAAACUGGGUCUAAUACCGGAUAGGAGCGUCCACCGCAUGGUGGGUGUUGGAAAGAUUUAUCGGUUUUGGAUGGACUCGCGGCCUAUCAGCUUGUUGGUGAGGUAAUGGCUCACCAAGGCGACGACGGGUAGCCGGCCUGAGAGGGUGACCGGCCACACUGGGACUGAGACACGGCCCAGACUCCUACGGGAGGCAGCAGUGGGGAAUAUUGCACAAUGGGCGCAAGCCUGAUGCAGCGACGCCGCGUGAGGGGUGACGGCCUUCGGGUUGUAAACCUCUUUCAGUAGGGAAGAAGCGAAAGUGACGGUACCUGCAGAAGAAGCACCGGCUAACUACGU
rnacentral:rRNA from 1 species